AGCGAACGCUGGCGGCAGGCCUAACACAUGCAAGUCGAACGGAUCCUUCGGGAUUAGUGGCGGACGGGUGGGUAACACGUGGGAACGUGCCCUUUGGUUCGGAACAACUCAGGGAAACUUGAGCUAAUACCGGAUGUGCCCUUCGGGGGAAAGAUUUAUCGCCAUUGGAGCGGCCCGCGUCUGAUUAGCUAGUUGGUGAGGUAACGGCCCACCAAGGCGACGAUCAGUAGCUGGUCUGAGAGGAUGAUCAGCCACACUGGGACUGAGACACGGCCCAGACUCCUACGGGAGGCAGCAGUGGGGAAUCUUGCGCAAUGGGCGAAAGCCUGACGCAGCCAUGCCGCGUGAAUGAUGAAGGUCUUAGGAUUGUAAAAUUCUUUCAGCGGGGACGAUAAUGACGGUACCCGCAGAAGAAGCUCCGGCUAACUUCGUG
rnacentral:rRNA from 1 species